GAGUCGGAGCCAUGGGACGAAGUCCCAUUUAGGAUGGCGACGACGAUAUGCCGCUGAGCGUAGCGAAGGGGCUACACCC
rnacentral:sRNA from 1 species